rnacentral:rRNA from 1 species
UAUGUGAUCGUCUCUCGCAUAUCAAUAAGCGGAGGAAAAGAAACUAACAAGGAUUCCCCUAGUAACGGCGAGUGAAGCGGGAAGAGCUCAAAUUUGAAAUCUUAAAGGGUUUCCCUUUACGAAUUGUAGUUUAAAGAAGUGUUUUCUGUUGAGGUUUUGGUAAAAGUUCUUUGGAAUAGGACAUCAUAGAGGGUGAGAAUCCCGUAUUUGACCUUUACUUUCAACUUUGUGAUACACUUUCAAAGAGUCGGAUUGUUUGGGAAUGCAGUCCAAAAUGGGUGGUAAAUUUCAUCUAAAGCUAAAUAUUGGCGAGAGACCGAUAGCGAACAAGUACCGUGAGGGAAAGAUGAAAAGAACUUUGAAAAGAGAGUUAAACAGUACGUGAAAUUGUCAAAAGGGAAGCGUUUGACACCAGUGUUGUUUUUCUGAGAAUCAAUUAAAGAACUGUUUAUGCUAAGUUGUUUAGACUUUAUCAGCUAACUGUUUAGUUUUGAGCUUUUCUUUAAUGCACUUUUCAGUUAACAAGUCAACAUCAAUUUCUUUUGCUGUAAAAAAGCUUGAGGAAGGUGGCUUGAGAUUCGUCUUAAGUGUUUAUAGCCUCUUGCCUAUGCAGUCGGAGAGAUUGAGGUCUGCAGCGUAGAUCCUUCGGGGCUAAAUGCAUUUGUGCUAAGUUAUAGCAUUUUAUAGACAACUUGUUGACUAUGAUUUGUCUUGUAGCUUACUCGCUUAUGUUAUUUUACCUACGCUUAGGAUGUUGAUCUACAAGCGAGAGU